rnacentral:sRNA from 1 species
UUGAUUGAUUAAAAGUUGGGUAAUUUC